rnacentral:rRNA from 1 species
ACAUACGGCCAUACCUACUGGAAAAUACACCGUCCCGUUCGCUCCGGAUUCGUCAAGCCAGUAAGGGGCAGAUUAGUAGUUGGAUCGGUGACGGCCAGCGAACACCGGCUGCUGUAUGUA